GUCGGGAUAGCUCAGCUGGUAGAGCAGAGGACUGAAAAUCCUCG
rnacentral:tRNA from 6 species